AACGAACGCUGGCGGCAGGCCUAACACAUGCAAGUCGAACGAUAAGCCACCUUCGGGUGGCGGACAGUGGCAGACGGGUGAGUAACGUGUGGGAACGUGCCUUUCGGUUCGGGAUAACCCAGGGAAACUUGGGCUAAUACCGGAUACGCCCUUCGGGGGAAAGAUUCAUUGCCGAAAGAUCGGCCCGCGUCGGAUUAGCUAGUUGGUGGGGUAAUGGCCUACCAAGGCGACGAUCCGUAGCUGGUCUGAGAGGAUGACCAGCCACACUGGGACUGAGACACGGCCCAGACUCCUACGGGAGGCAGCAGUGGGGAAUAUUGGACAAUGGGCGAAAGCCUGAUCCAGCCAUGCCGCGUGGGUGAAGAAGGCCUUAGGGUUGUAAACCCCUUUCAGCGGGGACGAUAAUGACGGUACCCGCAGAAGAAGUCCCGGCUAACUCCGUGCCAGCCGCCGCGGUAA
rnacentral:rRNA from 1 species